GAUGAACGCUAGCGGCAGGCCUAAUACAUGCAAGUCGAACGGUAAGUAUGAUAGCAAUAUUGUACCAAGAGUGACGUACGGGUGCGUAACACGUAUGCAACCUACCCUUUACAGAUGGAUAGCUCGGGGAAACUCGAAUUAACCCGUCAUAGUAUAGUUGAAUGGCAUCAUUAAUUAUUAAAACUGAGGUGGUAAAGGAUGGGCAUGCGUCUGAUUAGUUAGUUGGCGGGGUAACGGCCCACCAAGACGAUGAUCAGUAGGGAACUGAGAGGUUGAUCCCCACACUGGCAC
rnacentral:rRNA from 1 species